rnacentral:SRP_RNA from 1 species
AGUUUAGUCCUAUAUUGUAGAUAUUAGGUGAACCAUGUCAGGUUGGGAACAAAGCAGCAUUAAGUCUAGAUAUCUAGGUUUAUGGGGUAGCUAAACUUGA